AGCCCGGUGGUGUAGAGGCCAAGCAUGGCGGGCUUUGGCCCCGCCGACAGGAGUUCGAAUCUCCUCCGGGCUA
rnacentral:tRNA from 1 species